UUUCCGUAGGUGAACCUGCGGAAGGAUCAUUCAUAAUAAAGUGUUUUAUGACACUUUUUAAAAAUCCAUAUCCACCUUGUGUGCAAUGUUAGAUCUCGUCAAUCUUGGCGAGAUUUUUAUACAUCAACUCAUUCUGUAACUAAUUUGUCUGCAAAAUAUUAUGAAUACUUAAUUCAAAAUACAACUUUCAACAACGGAUCUCUUGGCUCUC
rnacentral:misc_RNA from 1 species